rnacentral:rRNA from 1 species
UACAGAGGUCUCAAGCGUUUGUUCGGAUUCAUUGGGCGUAAAGGGUGCGUAGGUGGCGGGGUAAGUCAGGUGUGAAAUCUCGGAGCUCAACUCCGAAACUGCACUUGAUACUGCCUUGCUCGAGUACUGGAGAGGAGAUUGGAAUUUACGGUGUAGCAGUGAAAUGCGUAGAUAUCGUAAGGAAGACCAGUGGCGAAGGCGAAUCUCUGGACAGUUACUGACACUGAGGCACGAAGGCCAGGGGAGCAAACAGG